rnacentral:rRNA from 1 species
UACGAAGGGGGCUAGCGUUGUUCGGAAUCACUGGGCGUAAAGGGCGCGUAGGCGGCUUUAUAAGUCGGGGGGUGAAAGCCUGUGGCUCAACCACAGAAUUGCCUUCGAUACUGUAGAGCUUGAGACCGGAAGAGGUAAGUGGAACUGCGAGUGUAGAGGUGAAAUUCGUAGAUAUUCGCAAGAACACCAGUGGCGAAGGCGGCUCACUGGCCCGGUACUGACGCUGAGGUGCGAAAGCG